GCAUCACAGGUCUGUGGCUGAAAGUCGAUGGCAGUCGCAGCCAAAAACGAUCCACGUAACGCAGUCAAAAAGGGCUGCUGAGCAUGGUGCGGUUUAGAAGUAAGUCCUGCCGGGAAAAACCGAGAGAGUGAGUUGUGAGAGGCAAGCGCCGGGUAGCUAAAGCUCCAGCAGGCGAGUGUGGGGUCAAAAAGCCAGGUCAGCUGUAGAUGC
rnacentral:ncRNA from 1 species